UGAGCAAUCUGCCCUUCUCUUCGGAAUAAGCGUUGGAAACGACGUCUAAUGCCGAAUACGACCUCCUUUCGCAUGAUCGGAGGUGGAAAGCUCCGGCGGAGAAGGAUGAGCUCGCGGCCUAUCAGCUAGUUGGUGUGGGUAAUGGCCCACCAAGGCGACGACGGGUAGCCGGCCUGAGAGGGUGACCGGCCACACUGGGACUGAGACACGGCCCAGACCUCCUACGGGAGGNAG
rnacentral:rRNA from 1 species